GAUGCUCGAAGUGAAAUUAGGUCGGUUUUUACUAAUUUUAUAACCGACCAAAUAAAUACCCUAACCAUCGUUGAGAAAUUAUAACCAUUUGAAAUCGACGGUACAGUUUUUACCGGUUUUUUUAUUUUUGACAAUUUUUGUGGGUUUUAUGGUUUAACCAAUUUUUUUUUAAAAAAAAUCAAAACCGACCGUUAUGUCAAACAAACUAUAGCCGAAAUCGACCGUCAAAUUCGGUGAUGAUGUAGAAUCAAAAAUUUAAUUACAGUGUGAAGACUGAGUCAAUUCAAAAAAAAAAAUGAAAUAUAACAAAUGGAUAGUAGAACCCACUCCAUAUAUAAACUAUUUUAACUCUCUCUCCCCUCGACAAAUCACUCUUAGCCACUCCUUCUCUUUCUUUCUCCCCCUCUUUCUCUCUUCAAAACACCAAAAGAAAAAUCCACUAACACCACUGCCAGCGUAGAUCGAACGAGCACUUUCAGCCACCGUCUGACCUCACGCAUAUCAGGCCAUUUGAAUCCCCAGGCACCGACGACCUCAACGCCCAAGCGGCACCGUCGUUAGCUCAGGAUUGCAAGUUAAAGUUUUGAGGUUCAACGCAUUUUUCAAUCACCUCUGGUGUCCAUUUGACGAGUCGUCUUCACCACUAGACUCAGCUCAUUGGCUCGUUGAGGGAACAAUCUACACUAAGUUAAUUUGUCCAGCUCGCUACUUUUUCAGGUGACGUUUUUGUAACUCUACCCCUUUCUGAUGACUUUUCAGCGAUAUUGUGUACCGUUUUGACAAAUAAUUAGUAUGAGUGUGAUCUACUAGUCGAAGUGCUUAUUUUGAUAUAUACUACUCCUAUUUUCAACGACGUUUCCGGUACACAAUUUCUACUGCCACUAAUUAUUGUUGUGCACCGCUUAGGUGAAAGUGGUACCUAAAAUUGGAUUAAACAAUUGGAGCUCGGGACUUGAGAGCUUAGGAUCAUCUUUUUGGACAAAGUUUAACGGCUUGGGAGAGUGAACUGGAUCAAUACUUAUAUUGUGGAGUAUAUGGAUGCCCAGUCCAAGAGGGUGGACUGUAAUUAAACGAACAACUCCCACAGCUUGGAGCAAGACAAUCAAGUAAAUGAGGUGUUUUAUCAAUUGUUUACUGAUGCAGCUAUCAAUUCUAAGAGUGGUAAAAUUGGGCUUGGGGUGAUAAUUAAGGAUUGGAAGGAGAACAUGGUCGCUGGUCUUUCGGUACCUAUGGCAGCAAGGGCAACUUCUACAAUGGCAGAGGCUCUGGCAAUGAAAUCAGCAUUGCUUUGGUGCUGCAAUGUUCGAAUGCCUCUUGCUAAGGUCGUCACUGACUCGAAGCAGCUGAUAGACAGAGUGAAGAGCAAAAAGAAAGAUUUUUCAGUUUUUUCAAACAUAGUUAAUGACAUUAAUGACUCUUUGUCUCGCUUCCCUAAUAUUUUUUUAAGUUUUCAGCCAAGAUCUUGUAAUGUCCAUACUCAUCAUAUGGCUAAGAAACUUUUAGGGCUAGAUAGGGAGUUAAUCUGGAGAGGUUUUUUUUUCCAAAUUUGGAAUAUGUAAUGAUCUUAUCAUGUGGUUACUUUCAUCAAAAAAAAAGAAAAAAAAAAAGAAAAGAAAAGAAAAUCAGCUGUGACAAAACAUAUUAUUUAUUUGGCUCUAUUCCCAUGCAUGCAAAGAUCAAAUUAACUAUUUC